UUAUUAUAUCUGAGCUAAACUCUUUAGUUUUGAAUUAAAAAAUACAAACAAAAUAAACAUUAGAAAUUAGAAAUACAAGCCCUAACUGAUUUAAUCUAAAACAGAACUCUCACUAUCCAAGUGUUUUGUCUCUUCCAUCUGCCAUUGCUCAUGUUUCCAAAUGUCUUCAUACAGAUAUUUGAAGGUGUUAUGUACAAAGUUAGCAACAGAACCCCCAACUGGUCUUCUUGUGACAUCAAGGUUAUUUUCUGCAUUAGCAUGCGUUAUCAGUUGUCUUCACAUGAAGCAAGAUAUCCUCUUGUUCAUUGAGGUAGUGCACUAGCUAGGUUUUUGCAUCGAACUUUAUAAUUAGAUCAUGCUUUCAGUCAAAACUGAAGCAAUUUUAUAUACUGUUACUAUAGUGAAACUCAUGAUCUCUAAUAAUUCAUUGAAGUUACAUAUGAACGGUGGCUAAAGUAAGCAUGUACUAUGCUCUUUUAUUUAUUUUUUCCCUUAAGUUGAACCAUAUGUUGAGGGUGUAUGCUUUUAAAGUCUUACUCCUGCUUUUAACUUUCUCUCCCUCAAUUUUCCUUCUCUUUUUUGGGAAGGGGGGUCUGUAUAGAAAACAUGUUUGCAUAAAAGAAAGUGGAGUGAACAUUUGGAGUCAUCUUCCUUGAAAGUUUCUUUAGAACAUUUCCAAUGGAGUUGGUGAUCAAGAUCUUGAAGUUUCCUUCUUUUGUUUCAUAUUUUCACACAUAGAUUCUAUUUCUUGAAAAUUGCUAUCCUGUUUAGAUAUGGGAUGAAAGCACCAAAUAUCAACUUCAACUCUUGUGGACUGAAAUCCGUAAUUGUUUGCGAAGUAGUCAGCCACCUAUCAUCUUUGAUUCUGUACUCCUCAAAUUGCAGGCACCCCUUCUCGAAAAAACUCUUGAACACCCAAAUCCAUCCAUUUCAGAGCCUACCAUCACCUUCUGGAAUUCCACUUAUGGUGAGCAAAUCAAGUUGGAUUACCCUCAAAGCUUGCUUCAUGUCAUAGACAAGCUCUCGAGAAAUGGAAAAAUAAACCUCCGCAAGAGAAGCUUAUCAUAUCUUGAAAGAUGUUGCUCUAGACUAGGAGUCAACACUGCUUUACAAAGAUACAGGGUGACUGCAACCCAUAACAUAAGCUCCAAAAGAGUAGAGUUUGUGGAGGAUACAGUGAAUCAACUUCAACACGAGGAGAAGCUGUCUCGAAGGUUAAAAAGAAAAAGUUUGGAACUAACUGAGCAUCAAAAGGAAGUAAGACGAGCACAGCAAGGAAGGGAGAGGGAUUGUAGUGGACGUGGCCCGGGGAUCCAGACUUACACUAAUGUUGAUUUUUCACAGGGGAAUGAGGAUUCACAAGAAAGCCAGGAAAUCCGGGAUCCAGAAUCCAUUAUGGAGAUGUUAAAAAGAGCUACUUAAUUGUUUUUAUCUGCAUGCUUUGAUUUGAAAAAUGGAAUUCUGGAUGGGGCACCCAACUUAACGAGGCAUGCUAGAUGAUCCUGACCACCCAGUUAUUUCUUUGGUCUUGUAUGUCACCUUGUUAUCAGCCUUGUUAUUGUAAUGAUUUUGUGAGUUGUAUCAAUUAUUUUAGAAGUCCCCAAAUGGAUGUAUUGUAUAUAAUAUUUAUAUUGAUCUUCUGUACAGAAUGUACAAUAGUAUUUCAUUAGCAUUGUGCCAUUGUAUAGCGGUAUGCUAUUUUGAGUUAUAGAGCCCUUUAUUCCUAGUUUUGAAA